GUACUUGCUUCAGCAGCACAUAUACUAAAACUGGAACAAUACAAAGAAAAUUAACAUGGCCCAUGCACAGGAUGACAUGAAAAUUCGUGAAGCAUUCCAUAUUAAA